AUCCUUUUCCAGUUCAUAACCAUGAUGAUUGGGUUUUCAUAUAUCUAUGUGAUACAUGCCUUCCUUCUACCUUGUUACGAUGUCAGCACAUGACCCUUCUGACA